ACCACUAAGCUACCUGCCUCCCCAUAUGAUAAUGAGUGGGUCUGGACUCCCUUUCCCUCUGUAGCCUGCGGUUAUCAAACAGAACUCAUAUUAUAUAUCCCAAUGUGUGUGUGUAGCCUAAUCAACAUGUUGACGUUUAUAACUAUUGUGAGCCAAUCAGAAUAUUGCUUCCCAUUGCACGUAGACCACCCCAUUCACCUCAUAUUUCACAAUCUUCCGUGUCAUCAGGAAGUGGACCUACGCGUUCUCUCCUAUGUCUGGCCCGAAGUCAAGAUCUCUGCAUGUCACACUUCAAAAUUAGGAAAAGAGAUACUGAAAAUGAAAACACCAAUGCAAACCCCUGGGGCUGAAAAGAAGGAGUCACACAACAAACUGACAACUGUUACAACGGAACAGUCACACUAACUCUUUUCCCCCAAAUGGAGAUGUGUGAACUCUCCAUGGAGGGUGGUGACCAAUGACGCUGUGAAGAUACAGGAGCAAGCGAAGGAGUUGGAAAGAGCAAGAGAUCAUCAUCUGUUGGAUAGAGUACAAGCAGAUCCGGAAACCAGGCUAUGCUGUUGAUGGUGCGAUUCUGGUGGCUCCGUACAUCAACAUGGAGGAGGAAGUAGCCAGCCCAUCCCCUC